rnacentral:rRNA from 1 species
ACUGCGAGUGAAGAGGGAAAAGCUCAAAUUUAAAAUCUGGCAGUUUCACUGUCCGAGUUGUAAUUUAGAGAAGUGUUACCCGCGCUGGACCGUGUAUAAGUCUCCUGGAAUGGAGCGUCAUAGAGGGUGAGAAUCCCGUCUUUGACACGGACUACCAGGGCAUUGUGGUGCGCUCUCGAAGAGUCGAGUUGUUUGGGAAUGCAGCUCUAAAUGGGUGGUAAAUUCCAUCUAAAGCUAAAUAUUGGCGAGAGACCGAUAGCGAACAAGUACCGUGAGGGAAAGAUGAAAAGAACUUUGGAAAGAGAGUUAAACAGUACGUGAAAUUGCUGAAAGGGAAACGCUUGAAGUCAGUCGCGUUGGCCGGGGAUCAGCCUUGCUUUUGUGAGGUGUACUUCCUGGUUGACGGGUCAGCAUCAGUUUCGACCACUGGAAAARGACUUGGGGAAUGUGGCACCUCCGGGUGUGUUAUAGCCUUUUGUCGUAUACAGUGGUUGGGACUGAGGAACUCAGCACGCCGCAAGGCCGGGUUUCGACCACGUUCGUGCUUAGGAUGCUGGCAAAAUGGCUUUAAGCGACCCGUCUUGAAACACGGACCAAGGAGUCUAACAUGCUUGCGAGUGUUUGGGUGGAAAACCCGAGCGCGUAAUGAAAGUGAAAGUUGGGAUCUCUGUCGUGGAGAGCACCGACGCCCGGACCUGAUGUUUACUGACGGAUCUGCGGUAGAGCACGUAUGUUGGGACCCGAAAGAUGGUGAACUAUGCCUGAAUAGGGUGAAGCCAGAGGAAACUCUGGUGGAGGCUCGUAGCGAUUCUGACGUGC